AUGGCUCAGGACGAACGCUGGCGGCGUGCUUAACACAUGCAAGUCGAACGAUGAUGCCCAGCUUGCUGGGUGGAUUAGUGGCGAACGGGUGAGUAACACGUGAGUAACCUGCCCCUGACUCUGGGAUAAGCGUUGGAAACGACGUCUAAUACUGGAUAUGAUCACUGGCCGCAUGGUCUGGUGGUGGAAAGAUUUUUUGGUUGGGGAUGGACUCGCGGCCUAUCAGCUUGUUGGUGAGGUAAUGGCUCACCAAGGCGACGACGGGUAGCCGGCCUGAGAGGGUGACCGGCCACACUGGGACUGAGACACGGCCCAGACUCCUACGGGAGGCAGCAGUGGGGAAUAUUGCACAAUGGGCGAAAGCCUGAUGCAGCAACGCCGCGUGAGGGAUGACGGCCUUCGGGUUGUAAACCUCUUUUAGUAGGGAAGAAGCGAAAGUGACGGUACCUGCAGAAAAAGCACCGGCUAACUACGUGCCAGCAGCCGCGGUAAUACGUAGGGUGCAAGCGUUGUCCGGAAUUAUUGGGCGUAAAGAGCUCGUAGGCGGUUUGUCGCGUCUGCUGUGAAAUCCCGAGGCUCAACCUCGGGCUUGCAGUGGGUACGGGCAGACUAGAGUGCGGUAGGGGAGAUUGGAAUUCCUGGUGUAGCGGUGGAAUGCGCAGAUAUCAGGAGGAACACCGAUGGCGAAGGCAGAU
rnacentral:rRNA from 1 species